AGGUUGCAGGAACAGCAACUCAUAUUCCGCUUGGGAACCCUGCAGCCCAAUGUUGAUCUUCGUUGCUACAGUUUCAAGUGACCAAGUGUGCUGUGCCCAGAUUCCACAUCAUGGCCUGUGAACUGGCGAGUGUGAAUAGUGCUUUAGAAGCCUUGCUGACAGUGUUCAAAAGAGCUGCGAGUCAUGACAGCGACAACUUGACUCUGAGCCGCAGUGAGCUCCAUCGUUUGAUUAUGACUGAGCUUCCUUUUUUGGUGGAGCCCAACUUUGAUAAACAUUUCGAGAGUUUCUUCCGGUGUAUGGAAGGUAAUCCUGGCAGUAAUGUCGAUUUUAAAGGGUUCAUGUGCCUGUUAGCGACUAUUGUGAUGUGCCGUGACCAAGAACUAUCCCAGUAACUACAUUAAUGCCGUGUGGAGUCAUCAGUAACAGCCACUGGAACCAUC